rnacentral:rRNA from 14 species
UGGAGAGUUUGAUCCUGGCUCAGAACGAACGCUGGCGGCGUGCCUAACACAUGCAAGUCGAACGAGAAUCACUCUUCGGAGUGAGGAAAGUGGCGCACGGGUGAGUAACGCGUGGGUAAUCUGCCCUUUGGUUGGGGACAACAGUUCGAAAGAACUGCUAAUACCGAAUAAGUCGAUCAUCUCUGCGGAGGAGAUCGGGAAAGAUUUAUCGCCGAAGGAUGAGCCCGCGUAUCAUUAGGUAGUUGGUGAGGUAAUGGCUCACCAAGCCAAAGAUGAUUAGCUGGUCUGAGAGGAUGAUCAGCCACACCGGGACUGAGACACGGCCCGGACUCCUACGGGAGGCAGCAGUCGGGAAUAUUGCGCAAUGGGGGAAACCCUGACGCAGCAACGCCGCGUGAAGGAUGAAGGCUUUCGGGUUGUAAACUUCUUUUA